rnacentral:misc_RNA from 1 species
UACGUAGGGUCCGAGCGUUAAUCGGAAUUACUGGGCGUAAAGCGCGCGUAGGCGGUUCGGUCAGUUGGAUGUGAAAGCCCAGGGCUCAACCUUGGAAUUGCAUUCAAUACUGCCAGGCUAGAGUACGAGAGAGGGAGGUAGAAUUUCUAGUGUAGCGGUGAAAUGCGUAGAUAUUAGAAGGAAUACCAGUGGCGAAGGCGGCCUCCUGGCUCGAUACUGACGCUGAGGUGCGAAAGCGUGGGUAGCGAACAGG